CCAUGUCAUUAACAUCAGACUCCCGAGAACCUCCUGAAAUCCUCCCUGGUUUGAGAGUCCCAGUGGUGGUGGCGGCUCCUCCAUGAAGCGUCCUGACUAACGGGAGAGAAAUCAUUAUCUGCAGCCUCCGUUUGAUGUCUGUGCCCUGAGAAACGACGCAGGGGGAAGUCUCAGUCCUGCCUCCUGAGCGCUUCCAGAUGUCACACAUCCUUCUUAACUGUGAGAAAAACAAGGGGAGAACAUACAAGAGGCAUUUGUCGGAUCGGGGUGCAAAGUUGGGGACACUACUUCCUAUCCUCCAAACUUCUGGUGGCUUUGUUGGACCACACCCAUCUUCACCUGAGACACCUCAUCAUGAACCUGUCAAAAUGGGGAAAAAAGGUUUCAACAGUUUAAUGCGGUGUGGAUGGAAAAUAUCACCUUCAACAUGACGGCCUAGUGAAGAGUGAAGAGGAGAUGAACAAUGAGGCAGAAGAAGAAAAUUGAGGAGAACAAUGAUUAACUGGAGGCUCACACAGAGAGGUCAAAGAGUAGAAGAUUCACUCAGUGUGACUGCUGCAAGCUGAGAGGAAGAACGUCUGCAAACAGCCUUCCAGCAGCCUUCCAAUCCCACCAUCAUGGACCAGUUCACAAGCUCAACUCCGAGAGAAACUUUUGAGCGUCUUUCAGCUUCACUGGGCUGCAGUCCCACCUCUGCAGCAGUGGCUGCAUACCUCGACAAACAUGACACACUGAGGCAUCUCAGGGAGGAAUUCCUGGUGCCCAAAACUGCAGAUUUGCCUCCUACUGAUCUCUCGCUGGUUGACAGCACCAAGGAUUGCAUCUACCUCGUUGGAAACUCGUUGGGGCUUCAGCCCAAAAGGGCCAAGAAGUACCUUGAAGAGGAGCUGGAGAAGUGGGCCAAAACGGGUGUCCAUGGUCACAUGGAGGGCAGUCGACCUUGGGCGUAUGCUGAAAAUAACAUAGAGGAACUCAUGGCUAAUGUUGUUGGAGCUAAAACUGAGGAGGUGGCACUGAUGAAUGGCCUGACAGUUAAUUUGCACCUUCUACUGCUGUCCUUCUACAAACCCACAGCAGCUCGACACAAAAUCCUUCUGGAAGACAAGGCUUUCCCUUCAGACCAUUAUGCUGUAGAGUCUCAGAUCCGCCUGCGAGGAUUCGACCCUGAGAAGAGCAUGCUGCUGCUGUCACCCAGACCGGGAGAAGAGACUCUGAGAACUGAGGACAUCCUGGAGGUGAUCGAGAAGGAGGGGGACUCCAUCGCCGUGGUGAUGUUCAGCGGGGUCCAGUAUUACACCGGCCAGCUGUUCAACAUGGCCGCCAUCACCGAGGCCGGCCAGAGGAAGGGCUGUUAUGUGGGCUUCGAUUGCGCUCACGCUGUAGGAAACGCUGAGCUGAAGCUGCACGACUGGGGAGUCGACUUUGCCUGCUGGUGCACCUACAAGUAUGUGAACUCAGGUGCUGGGGGUCUUGCCGGGGCAUUUAUCCACCAGAAACAUAAAGACACCAUCAAACCUGCGCUGUUGGGAUGGUGGGGCCAUGACCUGAAAACUCGUUUCCAAAUGAAUAAUGUGUUGGAGCUGCAGCCUGGCGUGAGCGGCUUCAGACUCUCCAACCAGCCCGUCCUGCUGGUCUGCACCCUGCAGGCCAGUUUGGAGGUGUUUAACAUGACCAGUAUGCAGGCGCUGCGCAGGAAGUCCCUCCUGCUGACGGGCUACCUGGAGUAUCUGAUCCAGCAUUAUUAUACUGAGGACCCCCAUCAACCUCACAAAGCUCACGUCCGCAUCGUCACGCCCUCUGACCCUCAGCAGAGAGGCUGUCAGCUGUCUCUGUCCUUCUCCGUCCCCAUCAGGAGGAUCUUCCAGGAGCUGGAGAAGAGGGGAGUCGCUUGUGACAUGAGGGAGCCCAGCGUGCUGCGAAUCGCUCCGACGCCACUCUACAACUCCUUCAGUGACGUUCAUCGCUUCAUAGAAACACUGGGAGCAGCUCUCACUGCCAGCAACCAAUGAGAGAAGAGAUCUGUAUGGUUUUAUCAGCUGUAAAUAAAUCCACUGACUGCUGCAAACUUAUAAAGAUUGGAUUUGUUCUGGAUUUGAAAACAACUUUCACAAUCUCUUGCCCCCGUGACCCUUCUCUUCAGUCGAGCGUCACCCAGAGAGCACGCAGCAUGGGGUUUACAAAUGACAUGAUUUUGGGGGGAGGGAAAUCUGAUGAGACCCCCUUUUUCCUCCCUCCUCACCCGGCUACAUUACACACAUGAGUUAGCCAACAGUCCUCCCCUCACCAAUUAACACCUACUUUAUUAUAACGUUGACUUCUCCCUAAUGUUCUUGCAUGUGUUUAUGCACUAUUACCUUGACGGAUGCCUAUUCCACCGUUAGACAUAAUUGGCAUAUCAAUAUGCAAAACCUAAAUGGAUUAACCUUCUUUAAAACUAAUGAGCACUUGGAUGCCCAGCUGGGGAAUGGACCAGAAUUAGCAUUUGUCAUCUUUUUUGGGGUGAUGUGAGAAUAAAUAAUUGAAGAGAGGCUUGGUAUUGUCUUUCCUUGGGCUACUUGAGCGUAAAGUGACUGUACUGUUUAAAAAAAGAAAAAAAGGGGAAUAUGCAGAUUUACUGUCUUAAUGAUGACUCUGGGCUUGCUGCUUUCACACAUAGUGUCUGAGGAAAAGCAUACAAAGUGGGAUCCGUCUCCGCUGAGGAAAACAGACAGUUUUGAUCAAAGAGGAGCAAGUAAGAGGUAAAUCUGCAAGAGUUUGAUCAGAAAAAACAAACGGUGAUAUGGGCUGAAAGGGUAUGGGAUGUCCAAAAAAUGUCAAAAAAGGUCAUAUUUUAAAAUGUCUAUUACUCUCUGUUGAUACAUGUGGUAGCAUAGUUUGUCCAAAAAUAGCCAAAAAAACACCAUAUUAUGGGAUGUCCAAAAUAACCCCCUCAAAAAAUGAAAGACCACUUUAAGAGUACUGGGGCAUUUAAAAUCUUUAUGACUUUUUCCCAAUUUUUUUUGACAUGCUAUAGUAUGACUUUUUGUUUCACAAAAUAUGGUGUUUUUCUGUCAUUUCUGGAAAAGCCACCCAACUAAAUGUAUCAACAGACCAUAAUAAGACUAUUUUGAGAGUAUGGCGACAUGCUAUAGUAUGACUUUUUUUUUGAGGGGGUCAUUUUUGGACAUCCCAAAAUAUUGUGUUUUUCUGUCAUUUCUGGCCAUAUUAUGCUCUAAUGUGUAUCAAUAUUUGACGCUGUUUGAGCAGUUUUAGGCAUUUUAAGAUUUCACCAAUUUUGACCAAAAUCGACAUGCUACAGUAUGACUUUUUUUUGAGGUCAUUUUGGAAAUCCCAAAAUAUUGUGUUUUUCUGUAAUUUCUGGCCAUUUUGUGCUCUAAUAUGUAUCAACAGACUAUAAUUGACCCAUUUUAAGCAGUUUAAGGUAUUUUAAGAUUUCACCAAUUUGAACAAAAUCGGCAUGCUAUGACUAUUUUUCAAAUUUUGAAAAACUCAAAAUAAAAAUACUUUUUUGAGGGGGUCAUUUUUGGACAUCCCAAAAUGUUUUCCUGUCGAUUUUUUGUCAAAAAUGGUCAAAUUUUAAAAUGGGUCUAUUAUACUUUGUUGAUGCAGCCACAAUGCUUGCGGUCCAGUCAGUCUGUUGAAUGGCUUGCUUGUUUAGGGUUAUAAACAUCUCCGUCUAGCUUCAAAGGGAGUCUUUCACAAAGUAAUCGAUAAGAAUGAAGGACGUUUUUAUUUAUUUAUUUUUUUUACUAUUUCUGUUCUGACAUCCAACACAGGCGCACAGACAUCGUUACCCCUCUUCUGUUUCCCUCUAUUUCCUUAUUGUUUUCAUAGAUCAGUUAAUAGUAGUUGUUUCCCUCAGAGUUUCUGCUGACUUAAAGUAAUAUUAACACAAAGUAGCAGUAAAUCUUGAUGUUCAG